rnacentral:rRNA from 1 species
CCAGACUCCUACGGGAGGCAGCAGUGGGGAAUAUUGGGCACUGGGCGCAAGCCUUCCCCAGCAACUCCGCUUGAAGGAAGAAGGCUUUCGGGUUGUCCCCUUCUUUUGGCCUUUAAGAGCAGCCGCCGGUACCUGUCUCCUCAGCCACGUCUCCCUACGUGCCCUCCUCCGCGGUAAUCCGUCUGGUGCAAUCUUUGUCCGGAAUCCUUUGGCGUAAAGAGUUCGUAGGCGGCAUGUAAAGUCAGGUGUUAAAGGCGCAGGCGCAACCGGUGUAUGGCACUUGAUACUUGCAAGCUGGAAUGCGGUAGAGGGAAAGGGAAUUCCGGGUGUAGCGGUGAAAUGCUUAGAUAGAAGGAGGAACAUCGGUGGCGUAAGCGCUGUACUGGGCCGUAAUUGACGCUGAGGAACGAAAGCCAGGGUAGCAAAGGGGAUUAGAUACCCUCGUAGUU